rnacentral:rRNA from 1 species
CACCGCCCGUCACAUCACGAAAGUGAGUUGUACUAGAAGUCGCCACGCUAACCGCAAGGAGGCAGGCGCCCAAGGUAUGACCCCAUGAUUGGGGGUGAAGUCGUAACAAGGUACCC